AUUGAACGCUGGCGGCAUGCCUUACACAUGCCAGUCGAACGGUAACGGGCCUUCGGGUGCCGACGAGUGGCGAACGGGUGAGUAAUACAUCGGAACGUGCCCGAUCGUGGGGGAUAACGAGGCGAAAGCUUUGCUAAUACCGCAUACGAUCUACGGAUGAAAGCAGGGGACCGCAGGGCCUUGCGCGGACGGAGCGGCCGAUGGCAGAUUAGGUAGUUGGUGGGAUAAAAGCUUACCAAGCCGACGAUCUGUAGCUGGUCUGAGAGGAUGAUCAGCCACACUGGGACUGAGACACGGCCCAGACUCCUACGGGAGGCAGCAGUGGGGAAUUUUGGACAAUGGGCGCAAGCCUGAUCCAGCCAUGCCGCGUGCAGGAUGAAGGCCUUCGGGUUGUAAACUGCUUUUGUACGGAACGAAAAGCCUUCUUUUAAUACAGGAGGGUCAUGACGGUACCGUAAGAAUAAGCACCGGCUAACUACGUG
rnacentral:rRNA from 1 species